AGUCAACUUAACAUUACUGUGCUACCUUAAGUUAUAUUUUCCGGAUUUCUGAAUUUGCGUCGAGUAGUUUCACCAGCUGCCGCAGGUGGAGCUACCCGCGCUUCUCUUGUCAAUUUUCUCUCACUUUUCUGUAAAAUGCCCUCUGCGAGGCACAUGUGAAAUAUAUUCGCUCCGCGCUAAAUGAAGUUAUAAUUCUCGCAAUUCGUGUGUUUUAUAAAGUGUGGUUUGCCGCAGCCUUCUACCUUGUCGUCUGGCCUCUAGAUUGGAUGGGGAAAGGACAAAGAAUUUCAUUUUUUGAUCCUUCUCCCCAGACCUCAUGCUAAUUCCAUAUUUAUUCCAAUCUAUCUUAAAGGUAACGACAAAGGAGGCUUAGUGAGGCUCUUAUUGGGCAGCAUUUAUUAAUCCUGUUCUUUCUACCUUUGCAUAUCAAGGUAUCUAUACUACGCCCCUAUUGAUCGCCCCCAAGAGUGGCUGACUAAUCUUUACAUCCUGUAUAUGCCAGGUGAGAGCCGCCCACAUUUUUUGGUCCUCCGAGGAAAUUGGACUCAGCGUGCUGCAAGAGUCAUCGCAUUUCCGUAUCUUCGUCGAGGCUUCUCCGUCGCUUGCCCUCCAGCCAAUGAAGAAAGCGUCUAACAUCUCAAAUCUCACGUCGUGGAACCCCGCUACAACUGCCAAAGCAUUCAACGAGAAGUUGCCAUCCGCAAAUGUGCCAUCCGCUGCCAAUUCUGUGUCAUUUGUGGGGCCCAGCAUCUCAGCGCAAAGCAACUUCCGGCAACACCACGUGGAGUUUUUGGAGAGUUCAGUCAGUCAAAAUGACUGUAGCCUUUC